rnacentral:ncRNA from 1 species
AUGGAUGGCGCUGGAGGGUUGGGCCCAUCCCUGGCCGUCACUGGCAGUGCAAGACCCACGGGGGCUACGCCGCGACAAGUAGGAGGGCCGCUGCGGUGCACCUCGAAGCCUGGGGCGCGGGCCUGGGUGGAGCCACCACAGGUGCAGAUCUUGGUGGUAGUAGCAAAUAUUCAAACGAGAGCUUUGAAGGCCGAAGUGGAGCCGGGUUCCGUGUGAACAGCAGUUGAACAUGGGUCAGUCAGUCCUAAGCGAUAGGCAAGCACUGUUUCGAAAGGGUGGGCGAUGGCCUCCAUUGCCCUCAUCCGAUCGAAAGGGAGUCCGGUUCAGAUCUCCGAAUCUGGAGUGGUGGAGACGGGUGCCACAAAGCGCCCAGUGUGGUGAUGCAACCGAUCCCGGAGAAGCCGGCGGGGGGCCCAGGGGGA